AUGCUCUCCUCAGCAGCAAAUGUACUAAAAUUGAAACAAUACAGAGAAGAUUAGCAUGGCCCCUGUGCAAGGAUGACAUGCAAAUUAGUGAAGCAUUCCAUAUUUUU
rnacentral:snRNA from 1 species